UACGGAGGAUCCAAGCGUUAUCCGGAAUCAUUGGGUUUAAAGGGUCCGUAGGUGGACGAUUAAGUCAGAGGUGAAAUCCUGCAGCUCAACUGUAGAAUUGCCUUUGAUACUGGUUGUCUUGAAUCAUUGUGAAGUGGUUAGAAUAUGUGGUGUAGCGGUGAAAUGCAUAGAUAUCACAUAGAAUACCGAUUGCGAAGGCAGAUCACUAACAAUGUAUUGACACUGAUGGACGAAAGCGUGGGGAGCGAACGGG
rnacentral:rRNA from 1 species